GAAGUUGUGCCUGACAAAAGGAUUAUUUUGAUAGAAUAAAUAUAAGGGUUAAAACCCCUUCAACUUCU
rnacentral:tRNA from 1 species